rnacentral:rRNA from 1 species
CAGCAGCCCGGGAAUACGAAGGGGGCUAGCGUUGUUCGGAAUUACUGGGCGUAAAGCGCACGUAGGCGGACAUUUAAGUCAGGGGUGAAAUCCCGGGGCUCAACCCCGGAACUGCCUUUGAUACUGGGUGUCUAGAGUAUGGAAGAGGUGAGUGGAAUUCCGAGUGUAGAGGUGAAAUUCGUAGAUAUUCGGAGAAACACCAGUGGCGAAGGCGGCUCACUGGUCCAUUACUGACGCUGAGGUGCGAAAGCGUGGGGAGCAAACAGGAUUAGAUACCCCGGUAGUCCCUGUCUCUAUACAC